ACGGAUAAUUCGUCAAUACAAAUCAGAAAAUAGCCUUUGGCCGCAUGGAAUAGCUUUAUGGAAAUAACAGUUUUCAACUAAGGAAUUUAAAAAGCAAUUUCAUGAACAGAUCCGCUCAGAAACAAGCACAGCCGACCGUCCGUCAAACAGCACAGCAACAAUGGGGCGCCUUGGAAUAUUAAAGUAAUUUAAUUAAUUACUCCGAUCAAAAAAGGGAAAUGAAAGAAAUGCAAGAAAAACACCUCAAUGAUUAACAAAGCGUAGAAAGGAAUAAUUUGGAAAAACAAACAAUCCGAGUUUCAUACAACACUGGUUUUCCCAAUACAGACGAAGUAAACACACGAGAUUCAAAAACGA